CAUCAGAACUGGUGAAAAUUUACAUCUGCUAGGGGUUCCAGAAUUGCGUGUGGCAAAAUGGCUCGAUAGCGCCAUCUUCAAAAAUUCACCAAUGUGCGCCUCGCGCUAUAUUUCACCUACGUGUACGAAAUUCGGUAACAAUGUGUACCAUGCAAAUAUGUACAAAAAAAGUCUCUUGAACCCAUUAACCAAAACUGAACAGGAAGUCGGCCAUUUUGAUUUCUCUCUUCAAUUUCUCCAUUUCCUUGUAGUCAUAGCGCCACCCACAGGCAACAGCCAUUUCCAGGCCGCGUAUUUGAACUCCUCCCAGGGAUUCAAUCAGAUCGACAUCGUAUUCCGUCAGUCCGUGGAGGCCUGACAAAUUUCGAUAUGAAAUGAAUCACAUUUUUUAGGCCUCAACUUGCUCAGAAACUCAUGAAACUUUGCACACACCUCAACAGUGAUGAACAUUUACAUCCGAUACAGCUGUUCGAAAUGACUGUGGCAAACCGGUUCAUAUUAAUGCACUCACACCACCCCAUCACUACUGAGUUACUGUUACCACCCUAAAGUCAACUCUCUUCAUAUCAGUAUGUAGCAAGUGUUUAAUAAGUGAGUAAAUCUUUACUGGUGGCGUUUACUCAUGUGCUGUAUAAGGAAAAUUAUUUUACACAUUAAACAGUAUAAGCCUCCGUACAUGGACUGAAAGCUUUUCUGUAUCUCAGGUGAUGAGGAGAACUCAGCUGAGGUAUGGAAGCUGCAUGCUGUAUGGGUACGCAUGCUGCUGCACUCGUUCCUGCUCUGCUGCUCUCUUCUUACUGCCGUUCUGUGUAUUACGAGGAAGAGAGGAGCAGAGAGAGACAAAGACAUUCAGUAUAUCGAGAUUGUCUGAUUCUUCAUCUACUUCACCUUUGAUGUUGAAACUGAGGAUCUUGAAUCUGAUGCUGGAAGUUUGUCCUGUCCGGUUUUUAUGCAGGUGCAGGAACGGUCCUCGUUGGUUUAAAGCUGUUUAGAGAAUAACGUCUAAUGUCUGUAGGACUAUUCGUAGUACUUGAUUCUACGCCGCAUGUCAUUAAGAGAUGAGAAUAAUUUACUCUGUUAUUAACAUGCACACACGUAUUACCAUUUGUGACUAAAAUUAUGUCAUUGAAAAUAAAGAAAUGGAGCUGUCUGGUUAAAUGAAGCUCAGCUUCUUGUGGGAAAACUUCAGAAUUUUUU
ensembl:lncRNA